AUGCAGCUAUAAAAACUCUGGUGCUGGCAAUUGCAAAGGACUGAUUUGAUUACCCAGGUAGGCUUUAAUUUCUCUGGUUUUGUUUUCCUAUACACUGAGAUAUCAAAAAAAACAAAAACAACCAACUUUUCUGGCAUUCUGGCAUAGGUUAUGCCUUGCUGUUAUUUAAAAAAAUAAUCUGAAAAAGUCAUAAACUUGUCCAAAUGCUUAACUUUCUCCUUUUUUUUUUUUUUUUCCCUUUCAUGUAUGGCUUAACAUAAUUGUAAGAAGCAUGGAAUAAGAAGUAGAGAAGUAGAAGGUUCUUUUUAAUUUACAGGAAAUUGAACUACAGGUUAGGAUUUUCCUUUAAUUUUUCUUUCCUUUUUCCUUUUAGGAAAGGUAAUUGUUGCAGUCUAAAUGUUAUUAUGGGCAAAAGAGAACACAGUUUUACACAAAAGAUGUUUCCUACUGUACUCAAUGAAAAGAAAGUUCUAAUUUUCUGGAGACAAUCAGCUCAGGACUGAGGGUGUUAAAGGCACAUGAGAUGAACAACCAUCUGAUGGUUUCUGCUUCUGUGUGGAAUCAACCAUCCAUAAAGAGAUUUUAUUCACCAUCUCUUGAGAGAACUGGAGAAUAAUCCUUAAACUAGCAUGAUUGUAGGAUCCUUCUCUUCUGUGGACCUAUCUGGCCAAGAUUGACACAAUGAGUGAAAGAACAUGGAAGAAGGCAGAGGAAGCUCAAAUUUUUGUGGACUUUUGGAGUUAUAUUUUUUUGUUAUCCAUUUGGGAAAAGUGGGGAAAUGCUCCUUCCUUAUCCUCCCUAAGAGUACAUACAGUAAGGAAUGGAGAACUAUCUGAAGAUAAGGAGAGAAGAUGAUUUACUGGAUGUUGCUUGGAAUAUGUUCCAACUAGGCUGGUGGAGAGCUGAAGCCUUUUUUGAUAUUUUAGGUGAACAGGGAGACUAUCUCAGAAAAUUUACAAAAAUCUAAAUUGGGACUAUCAUGUUUUGGAAAACUUGAAAAUAUAACUCUUUGCACUGCAAUAAAAUAUCAAUAUUUUUUUACA
rnacentral:lncRNA from 1 species